GUGGGAACUUUGGAAUGGACCUUGGCCUCCUGCAUGCUACUUUUCUGUAUCUCCUUCACUGCAUCUACUUCUCUGUCCUGAUUUACUGAUUCACACAUGAGGGGCUUUUUGCUCUGGAAGGCACUGACACCGACUGAGGUAGACGUGCAUGGCAUAUUGAGGAGCCAGGCUCAAGACUGAAAAGCUACAGGCACUUGAAAUUAUUCUAAACUGAAGCGUUAUAAUUGGAACAGAGCAGCCAGCCUUUAAAGAAAUGUUUACAUGGAAGACAUCUUGGAAUUGGGCAGACCCGUUGUCCUGGUGCUCCUGGCACAGAGAGGUCUGGAAGAGAACAGCUGGGAUUUGGGCAGAACCCUGUGCCAUGGUGACAUUAGUCAGCUGCUUCUGGCACAGAGAGCUGGCAGGAUCUGCUGGGGCUAAACCAAGCCUCUGUUUGGGGCCCAAUAAGCAGAUACAAAAUAGUCACAACUCUGUGACAUCCAGAAAGUACAGCCUAAUUUCCGGAUUGACUGGCACAGAGGCUGGAGGCUAGCCUGCACUGUCCCUGCAUCCCUGCCUACCCCAGAUAACAGCAAAUUGGGGAGAACAGCAAAAACUCAAGUCAGCAUGCUUCUGAAAGGCCCUAAGCAAUAUGGAGAGGGCCAGAGACCCCCCAGGACACUCCAGUCUGAAAGAAACCAGAAACACGACAAGAGAUAAAAAUAAAAAAAGAUCUCCAGCUGCCCAACAUGAGAAAAUAAGCCCAGGAGAAGUAAACACUGAAGAGAACAAGCACAGUAACCAUCCAAUACUGGACACAGCAUCAAUCGAAAUUAAAAAAUACCUCCAUGACUUCAUAGAUGAAUUUAAAGCUGUACUCCUGAUCUGUGAGGCAAGAUAUAAAGAGAUUAAUUAAAGAAAUGACAAGCCCCACCCAAGAGAACACAGAUGGAAGAACUGAGGAAGUCAGAAAAGAAAGAGAAACUUCUGAAGAAGAAUUUAAACAUAACUUAGAAUACAUGAAACAGAUCCAAAAAGAUUACCAGGAAACUAACAACUCCAUUGAACCCUGACAAAAUAUCCUGACAGAAACUAAAGCCAGCCUUCUGAAACUUGAAGAGAGAUUUAUGACAUAUGAUUGUGAAAGAAAAAAACCUCUUAAAAAUAACAAGGAACCAGAAAGAAACAAUUCAAAGGCUAGAAGAUGACAAAAGGAUACCUAACUGAAGAAUAAAGAAUGUGAGUGAGGAAGCAGGAGCAACCAAAAAUGAAAUACAAAGAAUAUUCACAGAUAUAUUAAAGCAAAAUUUCCCACGUAUAGCAAAAAGAAAUGAUAUCCAGAUAAAAGAGGCAUACAGAACACCAGCUACCUACAACCAAAACAGAUCUAUGCCUAGACAUAUAAUAAUCAAGAUUCCAGAAACCCACCAAAAGAACAGAAUAUUAAAAGCAGCCAGAGAAAAGAAGCAGAUUACUUACAAUGGGAAAAUUAUCAAAAUAACAACAGACUUAUCAACACAAACUCUUAAGUCAAGAAGGGAAUGGGGAGAAAUAUUCCAAGUCCUGAAAGAAAAUAAUAUGCAACCAAGACUCAUAUACCCGUCAAAACUCUCUCUCAAAAUUAAUGGAGAAAUAAGAUGCUUCCAAGACAAGGAGGGACUGUGGGAGUUCGUGGCCACCAAUCCAACCCUACAGAGAGUGCUGAAGGACAUUCCAGAGAAAGAGAGGAAGGGAUACCAGCAUUCCAGCAACAGGGCAAAGAGGCCUCAAUGAAUGGGGCAGACAGUGGAAUGAGGGAAUAAGGUGGACAAAUUAUAGCAGAAAAGUGGAGUAGCAGACAUGAGGCUGAGACAGUAAGCUAUAGUCUUUAGUGUAGACAGCUCUGAAACACUAUAAAAAAAGGCAGAGGUCAUUGUUAAUAUUGUAUCAGAAUUUAAAAGACACAGUAGUCUUAUCGCCAUGUUUAGUUUGUAUUUAAUUUGUUCUGGUCUGUCCAUUCAUGUCAGAUUUGAGGGCACAGACAUCUGACCCAAAAACAGCAGGUUAUACCAUGGUAACUAUCCAUACUUUCCUAUUAACUUAAACUGAAAUCCUGUAUUACUUACAUUGUCUUACUAUGACUGAUCUUAAUUGAAUCCGAUUCAUAAGUCCAUGGGUUGGCCUUGGCUGAUUUUAUUUGAAUUUGUUAUGCUUGUUAGUAUCAACCCUAAAAGUAGAGGCAACUACUCUGAAGAUGACAAGAUGUAAAGGAUAUCCAUACUGGUAUUAAUUAUUAACAGCUCUCAAAUCCUACAAUGCUUUCAAAGUUGAGUUUUUAUAAAAAUAGGUAAUACUAUGUUUAACUAUAUUAAGCCAAUGUUGUGGACAAAUCUAUUGAAAAUAACAAGAGAAAACAUAGUAACUACGGAAGAUCACCUAUAUUGUGGUCUUAUAUGUCUUAUCCAUUGCAUGUUUUUCUAGGAAUUUGUUUUGCUGUCUUGUUACGACUUGUUUUUCCCUAUAAUACAGAGAGGAUAGAUAUAUAUGUAGAAAUUCACACAUGAGUUUUUUAAAAAAAUUAUUUACAGGAACAGAUUAUAUAAUGCAAGAUGUAAUGAACAGAUACUCUGAAGAAGAGACGCUAAGAAACCCAAUGCUAAUUUUGUAGCAUUAUGAUAUAAAUUCUAGCAAUACUAUUGUUCGCUGAUUAGAAUGAUAUUGGUCUGGUCUCUUGAGUUCAAUUUCAGCAUAUGUAGAUAUGGGGAUGGCUACCACGAAGAGAAUGAGACAUGAGAUAGUAGCUAUUAUUAUCUUCUCUAAUGUUGGAUCUUGAAGACCUAAAAAGCCUUAAUCAUCCUGUAAUGAUUUGAUUAGUUCUAUAAUAUGCAAUAAGUAUAUAAUGUGGGUGAAGAUGGGGAUAACUAUUUGGAAGAAACUAGAGACAGAUAGACAGUGAAGAUCUCCAGUGGACUUGCUUUGAAAUCUGUAUUUCUUUAAAUUGUUUUUUUAACUGUUUUGUUCUGUUUUGAUAUGUUUAAUCUUACCCUCUUUGAGAUGUAAAACAAGUAUGUAGGACUGAUAAACCAUAUUACUGAGUUUUUGUUCGAUCAUUGAGCAGAACUGUUUGCAGUGUAACUUUUUGAAUGUCAUUUUAAAUACUUUAAUUUUGUAACCUGAACAGCUAUUUCUAAGAUGACAAUAUGUAACUUAUCAACCAGCAAUUUCUUACUGUUUGUUUUUCUGUAAUUUUGUUUUAUUUCUACCCUUUUUUAUCUCCAUGUAUUUUUUUGUUUCCUUUUCUUUAAAUA